rnacentral:tRNA from 13 species
GCUGAAUUAGCUCAACUGGUAGAGCAACGGUAUCGUAAACCGUAGGUUAGGUGUUCGAUUCACCUAUUCAGCACCA